AGAGUUUGAUCCUGGCUCAGAUUGAACGCUGGCGGCGUGCUUAACACAUGCAAGUCGAACGAGAAAGUUCCUUCGGGAAUGAGUAGAGUGGCGCACGGGUGAGUAACGCGUGGAUAAUCUACCGGGGAGUGAGGAAUAACAGUUGGAAACGACUGCUAAUACCGCAUACGCUGCAUAUUAUGAUUUAUGCAGGAAAGGAGGCCUCUGCAUAUGCUUCCGCUUUUCGAUGAGUCCGCGUCCCAUUAGCUGGUUGGGGGGGUAACGGCCCACCAAGGCGACGAUGGGUAGCUGGUCUGAGAGGAUGAUCAGCCACACUGGGACUGGAACACGGCCCAGACUCCUACGGGAGGCAGCAGUGGGGAAUAUUGCGCAAUGGGCGAAAGCCUGACGCAGCGACGCCGCGUGAGGGAUGAAGGUUCUCGGAUCGUAAACCUCUGUCAGAAGGGAAGAAAUUAUAUCAUGCUAAUCAGUGGUGUAUUGACGGUACCUUCAAAGGAAGCACCGGCUAACUCCGUGCCAGCAGCCGCGGUAAUACGGAGGGUGCGAGCGUUAAUCGGAAUUACUGGGCGUAAAGCGCACGUAGGCUGUAUGACAAGUCAAGGGUGAAAUGCCACGGCUCAACCGUGGAACUGCCUUUGAAACUGUCAAACUGGAGUAUGUGAGAGGGCGGCGGAAUUCCUGGUGUAGGAGUGAAAUCCGUAGAUAUCAGGAGGAACAUCAUUGGCGACAGGCGGCCGCCUGGCACAAACCUGACGGUGAGGUGCGAAAGCGAGGGUAGCAACCGGGAUGCGAUACCGUGGUAGUCCACGCGGAAAACGAUGGAUUCUAGGUGUUGGGUUGUAGGAUUGGCCCCUGUAGCUAACGCGUUAAGUAUCCCACGUUGGGAGGGCGGUCGCAAGGUUGAAACUCAAAGCAACAGCCGGGGGCCCGCACAAGUGGUGGCGUAUGUGGUUCAAUUUGAUGCCACGUGAAGUCCCUCACCCUGGCUUGACAUCCAGGGAACCCGUAUGAAAACAGGGGGGAGUGUUGGGAGGGCCCUGAGCCAGGGGCCGCAUGGGUGUAGUCAGUUAGUGCCGGGAGGAGCGGGGGUGAGUCCCGCAAGGAGCGCAACCCCUCUCGCGAGUUGCCAGCAUCAAAGAUUCGGCAGUCUAGGGAGACUUCCCGGGUGGACGGGGGGCAGGGAGGGGAAGACGACAAGUGAUCGUGGGCUCUAUCCCUGGGCCUCCCCGCGUUUACCAAUGGUGCAUCCGGAGGGAAGGGAGACCGGGAGGGGGAGCCGAUCUCAAAAAAUCACUGCCAGCUGGGAUGGGAGUGAGCAACUCGACUCCAUG
rnacentral:rRNA from 1 species